rnacentral:tRNA from 1 species
GGAUGUAGCUCAGUGGUAGAAGUCUUGCCUAGCAUGCACAAGGCACUGGGUUCAAUUCCCAGCACCA